rnacentral:rRNA from 1 species
CAGCACCUCAAGUGGUCAGGAUGAUUAUUGGGCCUAAAGCAUCCGUAGCCGGCGCUGUAAGUUUUCGGUUAAAUCUGUACGCUCAACGUAUGGGCUGCCGGGAAUACUGCAAAGCUAGGGAGUGGGAGAGGUAGACGGUACUCGGUAGGAAGGGGUAAAAUCCUUUGAUCUAUUGAUGACCACCUGUGGCGAAGGCGGUCUACCAGAACACGUCCGACGGUGAGGGAUGAAAGCUGGGGGAGCAAACCGGAUUAGAGACCCGAGUAGUC